UGAUGCCAAAAAGCGCCCAACAAAUUUUACUUUCACAAGUGUAGCAGUAUGGCAAUUGCCGUAUUGCUCCACUUGUUUCAUGCAUAUAAAUGUUGGGAUCCGGAGGCUUGUCCACCAGAAGGCGCCGAAGAUCUUCCUGCUGAGGGUAUGAGCUCACCUCCACACACCUGUUUCCUGUCUCCUCAUCAAGAGGACUUCUACUUAAGGAGAAGGAGACUGACACUCCUCUGCCAGAGUGUUUGCCAGCAAUGAUCCUGACUUACCUGAAACCUUGGAGAUUGAAAUCUCACCCUGGAAUCUGCCUCCCUGCCUCAGUCUCAUUCUCUGCCUCUGCCCUCAGCCCUCAGUCUGCCAGCAAGCCUCCGGACUCACAAGAUUCCCCCCUGCUGAUCAGAACCCUCUCAGAACAGGCACUCUAUUCUGACAUCUCAAAACUGCAAGUUUCCUGCAUCCUGUCUAAAAGCUCUGUCCUCCUCAGUGGUGAUUCCCUGUGACCGGUCCAAAGAACCAGAACCAGUUCAUCAUUCUAUCAUUGUACAUAUUGUAAAUAAAACCUUUGAACUUUUUCCCUGACUCUAAGUGUGUUUCUGCAUGUGGGUUAGACGCCUAGAACCCAUCAUGACAGAACACUCUGGCCAACAAACUAGCCCAGCGGAAGCACUCAGGAGGACCUUGGAACAACAACAAGUCCUCAUUCAGAGCCAUGACUCCGCCCUCCGUGAGUUAAGUGAACACCAAGCUGAAGCCAACCGCACCCUGCAGGAAAUUACUAACUUUCUCCAUAGAUCCAGCUCUCAGACUGUUACACCAGUGGUUGAAGCCGUUCAGCUUCCCGUUCAGGAUUCCAAUCCACCUCUCAGGUCAGAGAUCCACAUGUCAUUUCCUGAAUUCCGGCCAUCUCUCCCCGAAAGAUUUUCUGGAGACCCAAGUAAGUGCAGAGGAUUUUUGUUCCAGUGUUCAAUAAUUUUCAAUCAUUCACCUCUGAGUUUUGUGCAAGAUGGAAGAAGGAUUUCUUUUAUUUUGUCCCAUCUGUCUGGGAAAGCCUUGGAGUGGGCGGAAGCUAAAUUCUCGUCCAAGAUUGAGUACGGUUGUACUUAUGACAGUUUCAUUGAAGAAUUUAAACAAGCAUUUAAUCAAGAUUCUGAUAAGACCCCGAUUCCCGUGAUUUGCUGGAAUUAAAGCAAGGAAACAGAACAGUGAUCGAAUUUUCGAUCGACUUCCGGAUCAAAGCGGCCGCUUCUGGUUGGGAUGAAACGGCACUAAAGAGCGCUUAUUUUUAUCUCUAGAUGAACCUCUAACCUUGGAGGAUUUGAUCAAACUGACAAUCCGCCUAGAUAACAGAAGCAGAACCCAUGCAGAUUGGUCACACCAGACUCUCAGCUGAAGAGAAACAAAGGAGAUACAAACAAAACCUCUGCCUGUAUUGUGGUGAACCUGGACAUUUUGUGUCAACCUGUCUCGCUAAGGUAAAAGCCAGGGUCCGCCAGAGGAAAUGAGGAGUCUGGCGGACCAUCUACAAACUAAAAAAACUCCUCGACUGCUAUUACCUGCUACUCUGUUUUUUGAAGAUCAAUCCCUCACAUUGUCGGCCAUGAUUGAUUCAGACUGUGAGAGAAAUCUGAUCGAUUCUAGUUUGGUCCAACAACUUAAUCUUGACACCACCCCGUUGAUCAAACCCCUGAGAGUCUCCGCCUUGGAUGAUAAACAACUACCUCAGAUUACGCAUCAGAACAAACCGUUAGAGCUAUUAAUCUCCGGCAACCAUAGAGAGAUCAUCUCAUUUUUUGUUUUUCCCUCUGCUAGCUCAUCCACUGUUCUAGGUUUUGAUUGGCUACAACUCCACAACCCACAUAUUAACUGGUCUAAAAGACAUGUGGAGUCCUGGUCUAUCCCCUGUCAUAGUUCCUGUCUCCGCCCCGCCGCUCUUCCGAGUCUGCCACCGGCAAACCGUCAGGAGGUUGACCCGCCAGAUCUCUCAGCUGUUCCUCCAGAUUAUCACGAUUUGGCUCCGGUUUUCAGUAAGGCUAGAGCCCUUUCUCUCCCUCCACACCGUCCUUAUGACUGCGCCAUCGAUCUUCUCCCUGGGGCCCCUCUCCAUAACAGUCGGCUCUAUAACAUCUCCAAACCCGAGCGGGAAACUAUGGAGAAAUAUAUCAAUGAGUCCCUAGCCGCUGGAAUCAUCCGACCAUCUUCUUCUCCACUCGGAGCCGGGUUG